AACAUGAGAGUUUGAUCCUGGCUCAGAAUCAACGCUGGCGGCGUGCCUAACACAUGCAAGUCGAACGCGAAAGCGGGCUUCGGCCCGCAAGUAGAGUGGCAAACGGGUGAGUAACGCGUGGGUGACCUACCUUCGAGUGGGGGAUAACGUUCCGAAAGGAGCGCUAAUACCGCAUGACAUCCCGUCUUUGGAAAGAUGGUGAUCAAAGCUGGGGAUCGCAAGACCUGGCGCUUGUUGAGGGGCCCGCGUCCGAUUAGCUUGUUGGCGGGGUAAGAGCCCACCAAGGCGACAAUCGGUAGCCGGCCUGAGAGGGCGGACGGCCACACUGGGACUGAGACACGGCCCAGACUCCUACGGGAGGCAGCAGUGGGGAAUUGUUCGCAAUGGGCG
rnacentral:rRNA from 1 species